UACGGAGGGCGCAAGCGUUGUUCGGAAUUACUGGGCGUAAAGGGCGUGUAGGCGGUGUGGUCAGUCAGAUGUGAAAGCCCUGGGCUUAACCCAGGAAGUGCAUUUGAAACUGCCAUGCUUGAGUAUGGGAGAGGAGAGUGGAAUUCCCAGUGUAGAGGUGAAAUUCGUAGAUAUUGGGAGGAACACCCGUGGAGAAGGCGACUCUCUGGACCAAUACUGACGCUGAGGCGCGAAAGCGUGGGGAGCAAACAGG
rnacentral:rRNA from 1 species